rnacentral:rRNA from 1 species
GACGAACGCUUUCGCCUUUCUUAACACCUUCAAGUCGAACUUAAAGGCCCUGCUUUUGUGGGGUGCUCGAGUGGCGAACGGGUGAGUAACACGUGAGUAACCUGCCCUUGACUUUGGGAUAACUUCAGGAAACUGGGGCUAAUACCGGAUAGGAGCUCCUGCUGCAUGGUGGGGGUUGGAAAGUUUCGGCGGUUGGGGAUGGACUCGCGGCUUAUCAGCUUGUUGGUGGGGUAGUGGCUUACCAAGGCUUUGACGUUUGGCCGGCCUGAGAGGGUGACCGGCCACAUUGGGACUGAGAUACGGCCCAGACUCCUACGGGAGGCAGCAGUGGGGAAUAUUGCACAAUGGGCGGAAGCCUGAUGCAGCAACGCCGCGUGCGGGAUGAAGGCAUUCGGGUUGUAAACCGCUUUCGCCUGUGACGAAGCGUGAGUGACGGUAAUGGGUAAAGAAGCAACGGCUAAAUACGUG